CUCCAUUGGAAUAAAACAGGGAAAUUCAUAAAUCCUGAACUGUUGGUGGUCCACGAGGACUGGGUUAAGGAACACUGGCAUACUAUCAAUGAGAGAACCUAUGAGGUUUUGCAAGACGCUGGACAUCCUCAACCCAAGUGUGUGGACAUUCAGCAUAAUUUCAGAGUGUUAUACUCCAUGAAACAGCAUGAGGCACCUCUAGUUUCUCUAGAACUGCUUUUGAGCUGCAGGUAUAAGGGGACAGGGACACUUCAACCAGACCACAUCAAUGAGAUGAAGUGGCCUUUGUGCCUAUAGUUUCCCUUUAAUUUAAAUGUACAAUUGCUUAUGUUUUUUAUCUGCACUUCUAAAUAGCCUAGAACAGUGAUGGCAAGCCUUUUUGAGCCAGAAUGCCCAAACCGCAAUAUAUGCCAACAUUUUUUCCUCAAAGUGCCAACAUGGCAAUUAAACCUGAAUACUGAGG